rnacentral:rRNA from 1 species
UGGCUACAGGACGAACGCUGGCGGCGCGCUUAAUACAUGCAAGUCGAACGAGAAGCCAGAGCUUGCUCUGGUGGAAAGUGGCGAACGGGUGAGUAACACGUGAGAAACCUGCCCCAAAGAUUGGGAUAAGCCUUGGAAACGAGGUCUAAUACCAAAUACCUUCUUUUUAACACAUGUUAAAAGAAGAAAUGCUCCGGCGCUUUGGGAUGGUCUCGCGAUCUAUCAGCUUGUUGGUGAGGUAACGGCUCACCAAGGCAUCGACGGAUAGCUGGUCUGAGAGGAUGUCCAGCCACAUUGGAACUGAGACACGGUCCAAACUCCUACGGGAGGCAGCAGUAGGGGAAUCUUGCACAAUGAGGGAAACCUUGAUGCAGCGACGCCGCGUGCGGGACGAAGGCCCUAGGGUUGUAAACCGCUUUCAGUAGGGACGAAAGUGACGGUACCUACAGAAGAAGCCCCGGCCAACUAUGUG